rnacentral:ncRNA from 2 species
UGUUGUCUUCAGGGCAGGGUGAAAAUCCCGACCGGCGGUUGAAGUCCGCGACCCACGAUAGUGGCUGAAUUUCGUAAGAAUACCGAUAGUUAAAGUCUAGAUGAAAGAAGACAGAC